GUCUGAAUAUGGGGGGACCAUCCUCCAAGGCUAAAUACUCCUGACUGACCGAUAGUGAACCAGUACCGUGAGGGAAAGGCGAAAAGAACCCCGGCGAGGGGAGUGAAAAAGAACCUGAAACCGUGUACGUACAAGCAGUGGGAGCACCCUUUGGGGUGUGACUGCGUACCUUUUGUAUAAUGGGUCAGCGACUUAUAUUCUGUAGCAAGGUUAACCGUAUAGGGGAGCCGGAGGGAAACCGAGUCUUAACCGGGCGUUAAGUUGCAGGGUAUAGACCCGAAACCCGGUGAUCUAGCCAUGGGCAGGUUGAAGGUUGGGUAACACUAACUGGAGGACCGAACCGACUAAUGUUGAAAAAUUAGCGGAUGACCUGUGGCUGGGGGUGAAAGGCCAAUCAAACCGGGAGAUAGCUGGUUCUCCCCGAAAGCUAUUUAGGUAGCGCCUCGUGAAUUCAUCUCCGGGGGUAGAGCACUGUUUCGGCUAGGGGGCCAUCCCGGCUUACCAACCCGAUGCAAACUGCGAAUACCGGAGAAUGUUAUCACGGGAGACACACGGCGGGUGCUAACGUCCGUCGUGAAGAGGGAAACAACCCAGACCGCCAGCUAAGGUCCCAAAGUCAUGGUUAAGUGGGAAACGAUGUGGGAAGGCCCAGACAGCCAGGAUGUUGGCUUAGAAGCAGCCAUCAUUUAAAGAAAGCGUAAUAGCUCACUGGUCGAGUCGGCCUGCGCGGAAGAUGUAACGGGGCUAAACCAUGCACCGAAGCUGCGGCAGCGACACUCAGGUGUUGUUGGGUAGGGGAGCGUUCUGUAAGCCUGCGAAGGUGGCCUGUGAGGGUUGCUGGAGGUAUCAGAAGUGCGAAUGCUGACAUAAGUAACGAUAAAGCGGGUGAAAAGCCCGCUCGCCGGAAGACCAAGGGUUCCUGUCCAACGUUAAUCGGGGCAGGGUGAGUCGACCCCUAAGGCGAGGCCGAAAGGCGUAGUCGAUGGGAAACGGGUUAAUAUUCCCGUACUUGGUGUUACUGCGAAGGGGGGACGGAGAAGGCUAUGUUGGCCGGGCGACGGUUGUCCCGGUUUAAGCGUGUAGGUGUGUGUUCCAGGUAAAUCCGGUUCACUUUAACACUGAGGCGUGACGACGAGGCACUACGGUGCUGAAGCAACAAAUGCCCUGCUUCCAGGAAAAGCCUCUAAGCAUCAGGUAACAUCAAAUCGUACCCCAAACCGACACAGGUGGUCAGGUAGAGAAUACCAAGGCGCUUGAGAGAACUCGGGUGAAGGAACUAGGCAAAAUGGUGCCGUAACU
rnacentral:rRNA from 1 species